rnacentral:rRNA from 1 species
AUUGAACGCUGGCGGCAGGCCUAACACAUGCAAGUCGAGCGGAUGAAGGGAGCUUGCUCCUGGAUUCAGCGGCGGACGGGUGAGUAAUGCCUAGGAAUCUGCCUGGUAGCGGGGGAUAACGUCCGGAAACGGGCGCUAAUACCGCAUACGUCCUGAGGGAGAAAGUGGGGGAUCUUCGGACCUCACGCCCUCAGAUGAGCCUAUGUCGGAUUAGCUAGUUGGUGGGGUAAAGGCCUACCAAGGCGACGAUCCGUAACUGGUCUGAGAGGAUGAUCAGUCACACUGGAACUGAGACACGGUCCAGACUCCUACGGGAGGCAGCAGUGGGGAAUAUUGGACAAUGGGCGCAAGCCUGAUCCAGCCAUGCCGCGUGUGUGAAGAAGGUCUUCGGAUUGUAAAGCACUUUUAGUUGGGAGGAAGGGCAGUAAGUUAAUACCUUGCUGUUUUGACGUUACCAACAGAAUAAGCACCGGCUAACUUCGUG